AUUGAACGCUGGCGGCAGGCCUAACACAUGCAAGUCGAACGAGUGGCGGACGGGGGAGUAAUGUCUGGGAAACUGCCCGAUGGAGGGGGAGAAAUACUGGAAACGGUAUCUAAUACCGCAUACCCUCGGAUGUGCCCAGAUGUGAUUAGCUUGGAGGUGAGGGAACGGCUCACCGAGGCGACGCACCCUAUCUGGUCUGAGAGGAUGACCAGCCACCCUGGAACUGAGACACGUUCCAGACUCCUACGGGAGGCAGCAGUGGGGAAUAUUGCACAAUGGGCGCAAGCCUGAUGCAGCCAUGCCGCGUGUAUGAAGAAGGCCUGCGGGUUGUAAAGUACUUUCAGCGGGGAGGCGUUACCCGCAGAAGAAGCACCGGCUAACUCCGUGCCAGCAGCCGCGGUAAUAC
rnacentral:rRNA from 1 species